CAUGGCCCGCCGGAGCACCAGCACAUGAUGCGCAUGCUCACCGGCGCGGAGGAGGAGGAAACCGCAGCCACCUUCAGGUUCCAGCCCGAGCGAGUCGCCGCCUUCGGCUCCACCGUCGUCGCCGAGGGCAGAGCCCCCAACGCCGCCUGGGUCCACGCCUGGACCGUCGCCCCCGAUGGGAUAAUCACCCAGGUCCGCGAGUACUUCAAUACCUCCCUCACCAUCACCCGAGUCGCCGCCUCUUCGGCUUCCUCCAAGGAACCAGCAGGCUCGACACACUGCCUUCACCUGUGGCAGAGCCGCCGCCCCGUCCCUCCCGAGAAAUCCUUCCCCGGCCUCGUCCUGGCCAUCUAAGCCACUACAAACAAUCCUAAGCCGUAAGCCUAAUCAUUCUAAAUAAAGAGGGGUGGGUGAAAGUUCCAUGGGCUGAGAGGGAACCCCCACUCCCCGUUG
rnacentral:lncRNA from 1 species